UAGGCUACGUCACUGGAAAAUGCAGUUCGUUUAAGGCGUGACCAAUACUUUCUCGCUCAGCGUACAGGAAAUAUUGUUUCAAUGCAAUGAGGACAGUUGGUGGAACAAACAUCGAAAGUCUGGACAAGUAAGCUCGCAUUUUUCGUACAAUACGGUUUAUAAAAACAUGAGUCCUACGUCAAAAUUCCACUAUUAAUUUUAUUCACGACAGAAAUACACGAUGCAAAUCACAAAACUGCUUAAAGAUCGCCCAACGAGCCCAAGAAGAAAAAUUAUAGCGAUGGUUAUUAAGUCUAUUACAACAUUUAUAAGUACCUAUAAGCGUUACCAAGUAACCAAGAGAAAACUCACGACAAAAAUAUUAAUCAACCACAAGAAGAGUAUACCAUAAAGCCUAAUGCUGAACAAACAAUUUUCAUAAACUUUCUCUGUACACAUCUAGGACAAGGAAUAGCGCACGCUUGCCAAUUAUCACCGAAAUCAGUGAGCAAAUUAAAUUUGUUUUCAUCGAACAGCUUACAAGAAUCCGGCGGAGGUGCAUCCACUCUGUCCAAAAUCAAUUUAGCGUCCUGUCCAAGCCGCAUCCUGGCCUCGUGAAAGUGAAAGAUGACCACGACAGUGACGACUUCGAUGAUAUCAAACACGCUGCAUCUUCAAUUGUCGACGGUGGUGUGGAACUGGAACCGAACGACAGGCCGAUACUGCUGGAUGUGCUUAGAAAGCGAACAUUUUCAGUCGAAGUACAUUCUCUUCAACGAACGCUACUAAGCUACAAAGAAACGAAAGACUGCUGCCAAAUUUACGCCAACGACGACUGCUACUCGUUAUUAAGUAGCAAUCGUGAUCUGAUCAAGGAUGCCGUUUCGCUUGGCCAUUGCCUCUGGAUAAAAUGAUUGAGCAUAUUUACUUAGCAUCGACAACAUUGGGAAGGUUCUUAUUACAUUUUAAUAUUAUGUACCGUGCAAGCACCAUAUUCAAAACAGUGCCUAAUUCUGAACAGUUUCAUUAUUCAUAAAUAUUAACAAAAUUCUAGUUAUUUAAACAAAUUAAUCACUACAUCUGAUGAUUUCAUAUUACUAAAAUGGUUUAAAUAGCUAGAGUUUUGUCAAUA